rnacentral:rRNA from 1 species
GCCCGACAGGGUUGAUAGUAUCCAAAGAGGAAGGGACGGCUAACUUCGUGCCAGCAGCCGCGGUAAUACGAAGGUCCCAAGCG